UACGGAAGGGGCAAGCGUUGUUCGGAUUCAUUGGGCGUAAAGCGCAUGCAGGUGGUCUGCUAAGUCUUGUGUGAAAUCCUGCAGCUUAACUGCAGAACUGCGCAAGAAACUGGCGGACUAGAGUCAGGGAGAGGAAAAUGGAAUUCCGGGUGUAGGGGUGAAAUCUGUAGAUAUCCGGAAGAACACCAGUGGCGAAGGCGAUUUUCUGGCCCAUGACUGACGCUCAGAUGCGAAAGCCAGGGGAG
rnacentral:rRNA from 1 species